GACGUAGGGCGCGAGCGUUGUCCGGAUUUAUUGGGCGUAAAGAGCUCGUAGGCGGCUCGUUGCGUCGGCUGUGAAAACCCGAGGCUCAACUUCGGGCUUGCAGUCGAUACGGGCAGGCUAGAGUUCGGUAGGGGAGACUGGAAUCCUGGUGUAGCGGUGAAAUGCGCAGAUAUCAGGAGGAACACCAAUGCGAAGGCAGCUCGCUGGGACGUUACUGACGCUGAGACGCGAAAGCGUGGGGAGCAAACGG
rnacentral:rRNA from 1 species